GUCUGAGAGGAGUUAUAUAAAGCGGUGGUAAAAGCGUUGAUCACUACAGGACUCUCGCCGUCUUCGUCGCAUCUCCUUUCUUUGCAUCCAUCCUAGAGCUCUCAAGUCGAAGAUAUGGACAGCUUGCUUGGGAAAUACCUCUUCGGGGUGGUUGCUGCCGUGCUCGCUAUGCUGAUCAUGGCCCCAAAUGAAGCUGGGGCAAUUCCACCUGAAGUCCUCUUAACCUUGGGACGAAAUGAAGACCAUGUCCAGUAACGAAGCAUCAGUCUUCGGGAUACAAUGCUGGUGGUUUGCGUUCCAUUGACGACACCUGCUACGUAACUAAAUAAAAUGAAUGAAGCAAAAUACCCUCGAAUGAAUAAACAGGACAUCAUUGGAGACAAACUCACUUUUCUACCGAGUGUCACAUUUUUUUUUUUUUCAUUUCCUUUCGUGUAAUCGCCCUUUGGCGCUGCUAUACAUAUAUUUCACAUUCUGUUCCUUCGUCGCAUGAUGCCAAUAAGUCUUUCUUAAUAUAUUUCGUGCUAAAAAUGAAGAAAGGGCGUCAAUCGAGGGGCCCGAUGUUUAUUUGUCAUAUCAUAGGAAGCCAACAAGCACUGACACCAAGGUACACGCAGGUGAAAUUACUUGUGCUUAAAAAAUGAAAAUGAAGGAACGGUAAAUUAAUGGAAAUGAAGGUGGAUGAAGAAACAAGUUACCGCCGGUGAGGAAUGAUCCCACAACCUUCGCAUUUCGCGUGCGAUGCUCUGCCAAUUAUGCUACCGCGGUGCCAUUUCCCGAUCCACUUUCUUGGGUAUUUGUGUGUCCUACUAGAGCCCUGGGAG